UUACGACCAUAUCUCUUUGAAACACCGAUUCUCGUACGAUCACCGAAAUUAAGCAAAGUCGAGCCUGGCCAGUACCUCGAUGAGUAACCACUUGGGAAUUUCAGGUACUGUAAG